rnacentral:misc_RNA from 1 species
GAAAUGCGAUACCUGGUGUGUUGCAGAAUCCCACGAACCAUCGAGUCUUUGAACGCAAGUUGCGCCCGAGGCCACUUGGCCGAGGGCACGCCUGCCUGGGCGUCACGCCAAACACGCUCCCACCCCUCAUCGGGUGGUGGGAUGCGGCAUGUGGCUCCCCGUCUUGCAAGGGGCGGUGGGCCGAAGAUGCGGCUGCCGGCGUAUCGUGCCGGACACAGCGCGUGGUGGGCGAACUCGCUUUACUUACCGCAGUGCAUGACGCUCCGACCGCGACCCCAGGUCAGGCGGGACUACCCGCUGAAUUUAA